CCUCGUUCACCUGCUGAGGACAAAUGAAGUGGAUGUGGGUGUCCAAACCGCCGGCGGUCACGAUUUUGUUCUCCCCAGCAAUCACGUCGGUGGAAGAUCCGAUCACCAGGUCCGGGUGAACGCCAUCCAUCACAUCCGGAUUGCCCGCCUUGCCAAUUCCAACAAUGUUACCGUUUUUGAUGCCGAUAUCAGCUUUGUAUAUUCCGCUCCAGUCGACCACCAGCGCAUUUGUGAUGACCGUGUCCACACAUUCUGCGGCACUUCGCCCAGAGGCCUGGCCCAUUCCUUCCCGCAAGG
rnacentral:sRNA from 1 species